ACGAACCACACGAACGUUAUUCGGAAUUACUGGGCUUAAAGGGUGCGUAGGCGGCGCAGAAAGUUGGGUGUGAAAUCCCUCGGCUCAACCGAGGAACUGCGCCCAAAACUACUGUGCUUGAGGAAGAUAGAGGUAAGCGGAACUUACGGUGGAGCGGUGAAAUGCGUUGAUAUCGUAAGGAACACCUGUGGCGAAAGCGGCUUACUGGGUCUUUUCUGACGCUGAUGCACGAAAGCCAGGGGAGCAAACGGG
rnacentral:rRNA from 1 species